rnacentral:lncRNA from 1 species
GAAAAAAACCCUAGUUUCCCUUUUUCUUGUUGGUUUAUGAUUUGUACUCUUUCCAUAUUUGUAUUUCCUGUCUUUAGACUUUCCAUUAUUCUAUGACGGUGUAAUUCCCUAUAUAUGAAGGGCUCUUUAUGUUUAUGAAUAUACAGAAACAAGAAUACACAGAUUUCAUUCUCUUGUUUCACAACACGUUAUCAGCACGAUUACUCUAAGAACCCUAAGCUAAAGUCCCGAGACUCAAACCCUAAAACCUAGCCGGCGAUAAACCCUAAACCCGACGACGAACCCUAAUCUAACCGAGAACCUAAAACCCCAUACUCAAGGCGUUCCCGAUCUCAGCAC